UACAGAGGUCCCAAGCGUUGUUCGGAUUUACUGGGCGUAAAGGGUGCGUAGGCGGUUGGGUAAGUCUGACGUGAAAUCUCCGAGCCUAACUCGGAAACUGCGUUGGAUACUAUCCGGCUAGAGGAAUGGAGGGGAGACUGGAAUACUUGGUGUAGCAGUGAAAUGCGUAGAUAUCAAGUGGAACACCAGUGGCGAAGGCGAGUCUCUGGACAUUUCCUGACGCUGAGGCACGAAAGCCAGGGGAGCAAACAGG
rnacentral:rRNA from 1 species